GUAGUCAUAUGCUUGUCUCAAAGACUAAGCCAUGCAUGUCUAAGUAUAAGCAACUUGUACAGUGAAACUGCGAAUGGCUCAUUAAAUCAGUUAUCGUUUAUUUGAUAAUCCCUUACUACAUGGAUACCUGUGGUAAUUCUAGAGCUAAUACAUGCUUCAAGGAGUGGCUUUCGUCACUCUGCACUUAUUAGAUAAAAAACCAAUGCCCCUUUGGGGCUCCCUGGUGAUUCAUAAUAAUUUAGCGGACCGCAUUCCCUCGAGGAGGCGGUGGAUCAUUCAAACUUCUGCCCUAUCAACUUUCGAUGGUAGGAUAGUGGCCUACCAUGGUUUCAACGGGUAACGGGGAAU
rnacentral:rRNA from 1 species